AGUCUUGAUCAGAAUGGCACGCUGUGUACCGUGAGUUUGUACGCGGAGUCUGUUACCAUUAGCGAUAAUGUGCAGUGCAGUGUGCGGCUGCAGUCGUUGCUGUUUGAAAUUCACAUGGCGCCCACUGGAUUGCUGUGUUGCAAUCUGGACCUCCGUACAUCACAAGCUCCGUUGUUGUUUUGCUGUUCAAAAAAAAUAAAAAAAAAUGGAAGAAUGCACGCGUGCGUUGAGUCUCUGCAAAUCCUUAUACUCCAAGUGCCGGUUUGGGGGAGCGAGUCCCGCCGUGCAGUGUGGGGAGGUGCAGGUUACGACCCCGCCUCCCCUUCCUGAGCGCCUUUCUUUAUAAUCCCAGCACGAGGGGCGCUGCACGUGGGGGGCUCCUCUGCACCUCCUCGCGUUUGCAAACCCGCGGACAUGCGUGCAAACCGUGCAGCCAGAGAGAGUUCGUUUGGUGAUGUUUUCAACGGAGUUCCAGGUUCGGAUGCUUUGGAAAGAAGCUGGAUGAGGAACAUCUGAACUGACUCUGAAGGAUGAAGAACAUGGCAGGAAUGUUUGUGCAAAAGUCCUUACAGUGCAGAUAGCCGGCACUCUGACUGCAGUGCAAACACUACCAUUGCCUUGCUGAUUUGCUUGCUUGUGUUUUUUUUUUGUUUUUUUUUUAGUCCUUUUUCAGUGCUUUCUAGGGGACUGGAAGCGGGCGAGCGCGUCUUGGUGUCUGGCUGCCCGUCCUGCUGUGGUAUUUAUGUUAAGGUGCAUCUAGUGCAGUUAGUGAACUAGCCUAGAAUCUACUGCGCUGGGUGCUCCUUCUGGCAUACAUGCUGCACUGUGCUUCAGGGCUGGCCCUGGUCCGGUAUAUCAGCCUGGAGAGACGUGCUCUCUGUUCAGAAGAGGUCUGUGUGUGAGACCCCAGCCUUGUAUGAUGAUGUGUUACAAUCCAGUCUGUUCAAUCUGUCAUGUUUGUAGGAAGUGUCGUUUCAGAAAUUGCUUAACUUUUUUUGUGUGUUAGGAACUGCUAAUAAAUUUGACUCUUCAUGGUGUGAAGUGCUUGCUUUCAAGACCUGAAAAGUCUUCAGGUGUCGUGUU